rnacentral:rRNA from 1 species
AGCUUGCUCCCUGAUGUUAGCGGCGGACGGGUGAGUAACACGUGGGUAACCUGCCUGUAAGACUGGGAUAACUCCGGGAAACCGGGGCUAAUACCGGAUGGUUGUCUGAACCGCAUGGUUCAGACAUAAAAGGUGGCUUCGGCUACCACUUACAGAUGGACCCGCGGCGCAUUAGCUAGUUGGUGAGGUAACGGCUCACCAAGGCGACGAUGCGUAGCCGACCUGAGAGGGUGAUCGGCCACACUGGGACUGAGACACGGCCCAGACUCCUACGGGAGGCAGCAGUAGGGAAUCUUCCGCAAUGGACGAAAGUCUGACGGAGCAACGCCGCGUGAGUGAUGAAGGUUUUCGGAUCGUAAAGCUCUGUUGUUAGGGAAGAACAAGUGCCGUUCAAAUAGGGCGGCACCUUGACGGUACCUAACCAGAAAGCCACGGCUAACUACGUGCCAGCAGCCGCGGUAAUACGUAGGUGGCAAGCGUUGUCCGGAAUUAUUGGGCGUAAAGGGCUCGCAGGCGGUUUCUUAAGUCUGAUGUGAAAGCCCCCGGCUCAACCGGGGAGGGUCAUUGGAAACUGGGGAACUUGAGUGCAGAAGAGGAGAGUGGAAUUCCACGUGUAGCGGUGAAAUGCGUAGAGAUGUGGAGGAACACCAGUGGCGAAGGCGACUCUCUGGUCUGUAACUGACGCUGAGGAGCGAAAGCGUGGGGAGCGAACAGGAUUAGAUACCCUGGUAGUCCACGCCGUAAACGAUGAGUGCUAAGUGUUAGGGGGUUUCCGCCCCUUAGUGCUGCAGCUAACGCAUUAAGCACUCCGCCUGGGGAGUACGGUCGCAAGACUGAAACUCAAAGGAAUUGACGGGGGCCCGCACAAGCGGUGGAGCAUGUGGUUUAAUUCAAAGCAACGCGAAGAACCUUACCAGGUCUUGACAUCCUCUGACAAUCCUAGAGAUAGGACGUCCCCUUCGGGGGCAGAGUGACAAGUGGUGCAUGGUUGUCGUCAGCUCGUGUCGUGAGAUGUUGGGUUAAGUCCCGCA